rnacentral:rRNA from 2 species
AGGUGUGAUCAUACUGGCACUAAUGCACCAUAUCCCAUCAAAACUUCGCAGUUAAGCAUGCUUGUGAGAGAGUAGUACUAGGAUGGGUGACCUACAGGGAAGUCCUCGUGUUGCACCUC